UCACCUCAGGUGUAUUGCACGGAAAAUUUUGAUUUUUCAGGAGGGUUAACCGAUGUGAA
rnacentral:tRNA from 1 species